CUUCACACGUAAUACAAUGGUCGGUACAGAGGGUUGCCAACCGCGAGGGGGAGCCAAUCCCAGAAAACCGAUCGUAGUCCGGAUUGCAGUCUGCAACUCGACUGCAUGAAGUCGGAAUCGCUAGUAAUCGCGGAUCAGCAUGUCGCGGUGAAUUACCGGUUCCCGGGCCUU
rnacentral:rRNA from 1 species